UCAGAAGCGAGUUGUUCAGUUUCCAAGUGGUUGUGUGAGUUUGAAUGUGUUUCUUGGUCCUGAGUUCUAGUCUCAUUGUGCUGUGGUCUGAUAGACUGUUUGUUAUGAUUUCUGUUCUUUUGCAUUUGCUGGGAAUGAUUUGCUUCCAAUGAUGUGGCCAGUUUUACAAUAGGUGACAUGCAGUGCUGAG